rnacentral:tRNA from 1 species
GCUUUCCUGUGGCUCGGUUGUUAGAGCAUUGCGCUAACAAUGAAAAAGUCAUGGGUUCAAAUCCAAGGGAAAGUA